rnacentral:misc_RNA from 1 species
GAUGAAGAACGUAGCGAAAUGCGAUAAGUAAUGUGAAUUGCAGAAUUCAGUGAAUCAUCGAAUCUUUGAACGCACAUUGCGCCCCCUGGUAUUCCGGGGGGCAUGCCUGUCCGAGCGUCAUUACAACCCUCAAGCUCAGCUUGGUGUCGGGCCCCGCCGCCCCGGCGGGCCCUAAAGUCAGUGGCGGUGCCGUCCGGCUCCGAGCGUAGUAAUUCUUCUCGCUCUGGAGGUCCGGUCGUGUGCUCGCCAGCAACCCCCAAUUUUUUUCAGGUUGACCUCGGAUCAGGUAGGGAUACCCGCUGAACUUAAGCAUAUCAAUAAGCGGAGGA